rnacentral:tRNA from 7 species
GCGCCUAUAGCUCAGUUGGUAGAGCAAGUGACUCUUAAUCACUGGGUCCGGGGUUCGAGUCCCUGUGGGCGCACCG